UCAAGUAAUUAAGUGCAUGUGGUGGAUGCCUUGGCAGUCAGAGGCGAUGAAAGACGUGAUAGCCUGCGAAAAGCUCCGGGGAGGCGGCAAAUAUCCUUUGAUCCGGAGAUGUCUGAAUGGGGGAACCCACCUACUUUAAGGUAGGUAUUGCAACAUGAAUACAUAGUGUUGCAAGGCGAACGAGGGGAAGUGAAACAUCUCAGUACCCUUAGGAAAAGAAAUCAAUUGAGAUUCCCUCAGUAGCGGCGAGCGAACGGGGAUCAGCCCAUUAAGUUAUGUGUGUUUUAGUGGAACGCUCUGGGAAGUGCGAACGUAGAGGGUGAUAUUCCCGUACACGAAAGGGCACACAUAAUGAUGACGAGUAGGGCGAGGCACGUGAAACCUUGUCUGAAUAUGGGGGGACCAUCCUCCAAGGCUAAAUACUCCUGACUGACCGAUAGUGAACCAGUACCGUGAGGGAAAGGCGAAAAGAACCCCUGUGAGGGGAGUGAAAUAGAUCCUGAAACCGCAUGCAUACAAGCAGUGGGAGCACCUUCGUGGUGUGACUGCGUACCUUUUGUAUAAUGGGUCAGCGACUUAUAUUCAGUAGCGAGGUUAACCGUAUAGGGGAGCCGUAGAGAAAUCGAGUCUUAAUAGGGCGUUUAGUUGCUGGGUAUAGACCCGAAACCAGGCGAUCUAUCCAUGAGCAGGUUGAAGGUUGGGUAACACUAACUGGAGGACCGAACCCACUGUCGUUGAAAAGCCAGGGGAUGACUUGUGGAUAGGGGUGAAAGGCUAAUCAAGCCUGGUGAUAGCUGGUUCUCCCCGAAAGCUAUUUAGGUAGCGCCUCGGACGAAUACCAUAGGGGGUAGAGCACUGUUUCGGCUAGGGGGUCAUCCCGACUUACCAAACCGAUGCAAACUCCGAAUACCUAUGAGUACUAUCCGGGAGACAGACUGCGGGUGCUAACGUCCGUAGUCAAGAGGAAAACAAUCCAGACCGCCAGCUAAGGCCCCAAAAUCAUAGUUAAGUGGGAAACGAUGUGGGAAGGCAUAGACAGCUAGGAGGUUGGCUUAGAAGCAGCCACCCUUUAAAGAAAGCGUAAUAGCUCACUAGUCGAGUCGGCCUGCGCGGAAGAUGUAACGGGGCUAAAACUAUGUGCCGAAGCUGCGGAUGUAUACUUUGUAUACGUGGUAGGGGAGCGUUCUGUAAGCCGAUGAAGGUGUGUUGAGAAGCAUGCUGGAGGUAUCAGAAGUGCGAAUGCUGACGUGAGUAACGACAAAACGGGUGAAAAACCCGUUCGCCGAAAGACCAAGGGUUCCAGUCCAACGUUAAUCGGGGCUGGGUGAGUCGACCCCUAAGGCGAGGCCGAAAGGCGUAGUCGAUGGGAAAAUGGUUAAUAUUCCAUUACUUCUGUGUAAUGCGAUGAGAGGACGGAGAAGGCUAAAUCAGCCUGGCGUUGGUUGUCCAGGUGAAAGGAUGUAGGCAUGUAUCUUAGGCAAAUCCGGGGUACUCUAUGCUGAGAUCUGAUAGCAAGCUGUACUUGUACAGCGAAGUGGUUGAUGCCAUGCUUCCAGGAAAAGUCUCUAAGCUUCAGUUACACAGGAAUCGUACCCGAAACCGACACAGGUGGUCAGGUCGAGUAGACCAAGGCGCUUGAGAGAACUCUGCUGAAGGAACUAGGCAAAAUGGUACCGUAACUUCGGGAGAAGGUACGCUGUUGUUGGUGAUGGAACUCGCUUCCUGAGCUGACGACAGCCGCAGAAACCAGGCCGCUGCAACUGUUUAUUAAAAACAUAGCACUCUGCAAACACGAAAGUGGACGUAUAGGGUGUGAUGCCUGCCCGGUGCUGGAAGGUUAAUUGAUGGGGUUAGCGUAAGCGAAGCUCUUGAUCGAAGCCCCAGUAAACGGCGGCCGUAACUAUAACGGUCCUAAGGUAGCGAAAUUCCUUGUCGGGUAAGUUCCGACCUGCACGAAUGGCAUAAUGAUGGCGGCGCUGUCUCCAGCAGAGGCUCAGUGAAAUCGAAAUCGCUGUGAAGAUGCAGUGUACCCGCGGCUAGACGGAAAGACCCCGUGAACCUUUACUGCAGCUUGACACUGAACUUUGACCUUACUUGUGUAGGAUAGGUGGGAGGCUUUGAAGCUGGAACGCUAGUUCCAGUGGAGCCGUCCUUGAAAUACCACCCUGGUAAUGUUGAGGUUCUAACUCUGUCCCGUGAUCCGGGACGAGGACCGUGUCUGGUGGGUAGUUUGACUGGGGCGGUCUCCUCCUAAAGAGUAACGGAGGAGUACGAAGGUGCGCUCAGCGUGGUCGGAAAUCACGCGUAGAGUAUAAAGGCAAAAGCGCGCUUAACUGCGAGACCCACAAGUCGAGCAGGUACGAAAGUAGGUCUUAGUGAUCCGGUGGUUCUGUAUGGAAGGGCCAUCGCUCAACGGAUAAAAGGUACUCUGGGGAUAACAGGCUGAUACCGCCCAAGAGUUCAUAUCGACGGCGGUGUUUGGCACCUCGAUGUCGGCUCAUCUCAUCCUGGGGCUGAAGCAGGUCCCAAGGGUAUGGCUGUUCGCCAUUUAAAGAGGUACGCGAGCUGGGUUUAGAACGUCGUGAGACAGUUCGGUCCCUAUCUACCGUGGGCGCUGGAAAUUUGAGAGGAUCUGCUCCUAGUACGAGAGGACCAGAGUGGACGAACCUCUGGUGUACCGGUUGUGACGCCAGUCGCAUCGCCGGGUAGCUAUGUUCGGAAGGGAUAACCGCUGAAAGCAU
rnacentral:rRNA from 1 species